AUGAUGAUGUCACUGACUCUACUGCUGGGCACCCUGGGGCUCCUUGUUCAGGGUUCAUCAGGACAAAUCAUCUUGACUCAGUCUCCUACAUCUCAGUCUGUUGUUCCAGGACAGACUGUCACUAUCACAUGUAAAGUCAGUCCAGGUACUGGUGGUAGCUGCUUCAGAUGGUACCUUCAAAAACCUGGAGAACAACCUAAACCCCUGAUAACUUGUGAUUACCACCGUUACUCUGGGAUAUCAGAUCGUUACAUUGGUUCUCGCUCUGGCUCUGGUUUUACUGAUUACACUCUGACCAUCAGUGGCGCUCAGACUGAAGACGGAGGAGUUUAUUACUGUCAGAGUGAACACACUGUCAACAGUCAGAAAGUGUUCACACAGUGA